UACGAAGGGGGCUAGCGUUGCUCGGAAUCACUGGGCGUAAAGGGUGCGUAGGCGGGUCUUUAAGUCAGGGGUGAAAUCCUGGAGCUCAACUCCAGAACUGCCUUUGAUACUGAAGAUCUUGAGUUCGGGAGAGGUGAGUGGAACUGCGAGUGUAGAGGUGAAAUUCGUAGAUAUUCGCAAGAACACCAGUGGCGAAGGCGGCUCACUGGACAGUUCCUGACGCUGAGGCACGAAGGUCAGGGGAGCAAACGGG
rnacentral:rRNA from 1 species